rnacentral:rRNA from 1 species
GCAAGUCGAGGGGUAACAGGGAGUGCUUGCACUUCGCUGACGACCGGCGCACGGGUGCGCACCGCGUAUGGAACCUACCUUUUACAGGGGGAUAGCCCAGGGAAACUUGGAUUAAUACCCCGUAGUACCUUUUGUAGCAUUGCAAGACGGUUAAAGCCUUCGGGCGGUAAAAGAUGGCCAUGCGUCCCAUUAGCUUGUUGGUAAGGUAACGGCUUACCAUGGCAACGAUAGAUAGGGGUCCUGAGAGGGAGAUC